UUCCAUUAGAAAUAUAUCAUAUUAAUACCGAUAGCAUUACACUUCAUUAAAUAGGACACAACUUUGGUUUCUUUAAUCCAAUUAACUACUCUACAAAUAUUCCAAUUAGUUGUUACUUCAAAACAAACUCAAUUCAUACUCUUGUUACUAGAAAACCAUUCUCUUGUUACUGUUUACCGAAUAGAGAUACGACUUUAGUCGAGCAACACACUAUAAGAGUAACCUUUUCACCUAUUCCAUGUGGUAUUCGACCCCAACCUUAUUGGGUUAUUAUAUUUAACACUGACUGCCUUAUAUUAUUUAUUAAAGUGUAAUUUGAGCGUAUCAAAUUUUUGUGCAUGAGAUGGUACUUCUGCUGCGUCAGUAACUAGGACCUGAUCCUGAACUGGGGCAGUUCAUGGAUCUGCAUGUUCUACCCAAGAUAUUGUGAGGGCUAUACCCAUGCCCCUACCAUGGCAUUGACCGUAUCCUCGACCUUUAGUGGCCCCAACUGGUGGUACAGGUGGUCGUCCAUCCUGACCGGUAGCACAUGUCCUCACCAUCUGUGAGAGAAUAAAAUAAUAGAAGUUUAGUGACUAGAAUCAAUAGAACCAGACGAAAGGAAUUCAAGAAUGUGAUGUGUUUCCAAAAGGUUUUGUAGCAUCCCGAGGAUAAGUACUGACGUCUUUGUACUGAUUGUGAGACUCUACUAAACCUGCUCAUGACUCCUGAGACCUAUGUAACCUAGGCUCAGAUACUAACUUGUCAUGACCCUAAAAUCGACCCGGUCGUGAUGGCCCCUACCGUAAAACUAGGACAGCCGACACAAUUCGCAAAUAAUACCAUUAUUCUAUAAAAGUAUUUCUAAGCCAUUAAUAAACAAAAAUAUCCCACAUUAUAAGUUUAAAUAGGUAGUGCAGAAAUAUAACACAAGCCCGACAUCAGGGUCGCCAGUCAUGAGCAAUUAUAAACCCGUCUAAGAACAAGAAAGGUUAACAUAGUCUGAAAAUAAAAUACAAAGACAAUCUGAGUAUGGUAAGAAGAAGAAGUGCAUGGCUGCAAAUGCCAAGCAGCUGCCUAGCCCACUCUAGAACCUGGUGGAAAACUGAUCAGCGCUCACUAUCGCGUCCUGAGACUCCUGGAUCUGCACACAAGGUGCAGGGACUAAUGUAAGUGUGCUAACUCAGUAAGAAAUAAAAGUAAAAGCAGCUGAGCAGUAAUAAAAUAGAUAAUUCCACAUCAUAACACUAAAGCAAAACAGUAUAUGUCUAGAACGAUAUAGAAAAUUAAUUAACCCAAAAAAACUGCUAAGUUUCAGUAAAACCUUUUUAAAACUUCUUUCAAUAGUUUCAAACAAGUGGUGAAACAAUGAGUAAAAAUGAUAGAAACAUAAACAGCCCCUCAGGCAUGUCAUGUACCAUAAACCGCCCCUCGGGCCAAAUAUGAAUAGAACCAGCCCCUCGGUCUACCUCACAGUCACUCAUAAUCAGCCUAUCAGGAAACAAUAUGAAUCAACAACAGCACCUCGGGCUACAUGACAUCACUCACACUAUGUACCCGCGCUCACUAGAUUGUUCAAACUCUGGAGGGGCUUCUACAGCCUAAAAUUUAUCACAAGCCAUCUCGUGGCAAAACAAAUUAGGCCCUCGGCCUCUCAUAUAUAACAAACCAGUACAACAUAUUGUGGCACGUAGCCCGAUCCCAUAAUAUCCUCACACACAUGUCCUCAGCCUUACUAAGUUAGAAACCUCUCAAGCCACUCAGGCAGCAGUAUAAUAGGAUGCUCAGCCCAAAACAUCAUUUUAAAUAACAAAACAUAGUCAAUACGACUGGUUUGUGAAAUCAAUAAAAUACAACAUGAUUGAGUACAGAUAUUAAGUCAAAACGGUGAGGAAUAGUAGUAAAAAGCCACUAAGGAUCCAAACAAUCGGCACGAGGGCCAAAUAUGGCAUUCAGCCCAAAACAUAGUAAUACUUUCUAAAACACAAUAGUAUCAAAUAGUUUUAAAUCAAAUAUGUGACUUAAUAGUCGUACAGGACGGACCAAAUCACAAUCCCCAAUGGUGCAUGCCCCUAAUCUCAUCAUCGAGAAUGUGCGUCACCUAAAAGUAGCACCACGAUGUGAAAUCCGGGGUUUCAUACCCUCAGGACAACAAUUACAGUCAUUACUUACCUCAAACCAGUCAAAACUCUAGCCGUGUUGCCUUUGCCUCUCAAAUCUGCCUCAAAAUUCUCCUAAUCUAACCAAAACCAGAUUCAUGCCAUCAAUAUAAGCUAAAGGAACAAAGCCCACACGAAAAUAAUCACAUUAUAUCAAAAUCCCGAAAUUGGCCAAACCCGACCCUUAGGCCCACGUCUUGGAAUCUAAUAAAAAUCACAUCAAAAGAAUCCAUAUCCUUCCACGAGUCUAUACAUACCAAGAAAAUAAAAAUCGAACCUCAAAUUCCCAAUCAAAGCUCUCCAACUACAAGUCCUAAUUCUUCAAUUUUAUCCCUUAAAUCCCACUAAUUUCAUGUCUAACUAGCUGGAAAUCACCAUAGAAUCAAGUAUUGAAUUCAAAAAUCUUACCUCCAAGCGUUACCCCUUAAAUCCUUCUUCAAAUCCUAUCAAAAAGCUCCAAACCCAUCUCAAAAUGGAGGAAAUUAGCUGAAAAUAGUGAAGGAAUGCUUAUAUAGUUUCUACCGAGGCAUUUCCGAACCUGCGACAUCAAACAAGCACAUGUGCAAUCGUACCUACAGUCCAACAGGUUGCACAUGCGAAAGUCACGUAUCCGCCUAAAAUACAUCUGCGGGCAAUUAUUCGCACCUGCGACAUUGCAGAUGUGCGUUUCUCCACAUCUGGAGCUCCUGCCCUUCUCAACCUUGGUUACAUAUGCGAGCCUUUCUUCACAUCUGCACGCCCGUACUUUCGGUCCCCAAUCUGCAGGCGCGGGUAUGAUAGGAACAGCAACUGAACCUGCUCAAACUCAAUUCCAAUCUUUUCGACAAUCUUCUGAAAUCAUCUCGAGGCCCCCAGGACCUCAACAAAAUAUAUAAAGAAGUCACAUAUAACCAUUAAAACUCAUACCAACCCUCGAAACAAUCUAAACAACAUCGAAACACCAAAUCACCCCGGAUUCAAGCCUAAGGAUUUUCAAACUUCUGAAUUUUGCAAUCAAUCCAAAAACCUAUCAAACCUCAUCUGAAUGACCUAUAAUGUUGUGCACAAGUCCCAAAUGACAAAUGGACUUACUCGAAUUUCUGAAAUUCGAAUCCAAACCUGAUAUCAAAAUUUCCACAACCAACCGAAAAAUUCCCAAACUUUAAUUUCGCAAUUUAAGCCUAAAUCUACCAUGAACCUCCAAAAUAUAUUUUGAUCACGCUCCUAAGUCCCAAAUCACCUCACGAAGCUGUCCGGACCAUAAAAGCUAGGUUCCGUGAUCAUUUACUCAUAAGUCAACUUUUGGCUGACUUUUCCAACUAAAGCUUCCCAAAAACAGACUAAGUGUCUCAUUUUCCCUACAAACCCACUCUGAACCCAAACCAACUGACUUAAUACGACGAAAUGUAGCUAAGCAACACAUAAAAAACUAGAAAUGGGGGAAACAGAGCGGUAACUCAAGAAACGACCAGCUGUGUCAUUACAUCCUCCCUCUCUUAAACAAACAUUCAUCCUCGAGCGAGUCAAGAAAAAUACCUGAAGCCUCAAAUAGGUGAGGAUAUCUACUCCACGUCUCCCGUUCGACCCCCAUGUAGCUUCCUCCAUGGGCCGACCUCUCCGCUGCACUUUAUGGAGCGGUAACUCAUGAAACAACCGGUCGGGUCGUUAUAAAAUAUUACCUAUAACCUCACAAACACAAGUAUAUAAUUUCAACUCAAUUCCAUAAUCAUUUUCGUGGUCUAGUCCCAAUUUUUCGUGGCCUAAUCCCAUUUUUAUCAAAACCUAGAUUUUUCAACAAACUCCUAAAAUUUCCAUAUUUUACAUGCUAAAAUCCACCAUAAUCUAUGUAUUUAGCCUACAUUUGGUAGAAAUCACUCAUCUUAUAAUGCUUGAUGAAAUCCCUUCUCAAAGAAGCUCAAAAUUCGGCGAACAUAAUGAGAAAUGGUAAAAAUAAGCCUAAGUCCCGACUUUAAAUCAAGGCAUUGACCAAUUAACCCUUCUUUACGAUCGCAACAAAGGUCUCACGAUCGUGAAGGCAAAGCUUACCCUGGCCUUGAAAGUCUUCAUUGCGAACAUGAGGGCAAUCUUGCGAUCAUGAAGGCUUGCCCUGCCUGAGCAUCACAAUCGUGAUGGUGCGUACACAAGCGCAAAGGGAAAUGGGUGAUGGCCCCUCCCAGACCCCUUUUCUCUACUCGCACGCAGGCCCACUCACGCGGCCACCAAUCCUAGUCCUUCACGAAUGGGACUCUCCGAUCAUGAAUGCAAAGGGAAAAAUUCCUAGUCCCCUGAUUCCUUCUUCAUGAACGUGACUCUACCUCCAUGUUCUUGAAGAAUGAAACCAAAACCAGUAACACCAGAAUUUCAAAUUUAGCUCUGGAUGGUCCGAAAUUCAACCGAGCCACUCGGUCCCCGUCCAAGAACCAACAAGUCCAUAAACAUAAUAGGGACCUAAUAAAACCCCCGAAACACGUAAAACAACAUCGAAACUAAGAAUCAUACCCCAAAAUCAAAUUAAAUCAACUUUUAUAAACAUCAAACUUUUUAACUAGCUUCGAACGCAUCGAGUCUUACAUAGACAACUCGGAAUCACACCAAAUUAUUGCACAAGUUAUAAAUCACAUACGAGCUUAUUCCCAGGCUCGGAAUCCCAAACAUACCUCAAUUAAACUAAAGUCUAAUUCAAACAAAAUUUAAAGAACUUGAAAACCUUCAAUGCGUCAACUUUAACCACUGAGCUCCAAAACGCUCAUGAAUCACCCGAAACUCGAUUCGAGCACACGGUAAAGUCCAAAAUCAUCAUAAAGCAUAUUGGAACCAUUAAAUACCCAUUCCAAGGUCGGUUAGUCACAAUUUUGACUCAACUAAACUUCAUCAUCUUAGGCCAUUAUUAAGGAACCAAGUGUUCUAAUUUCAACUUGAACCCUUCCAAAACCAUACCAACCAUCCCCGCAAGUUAUAGAAUAGUAAAUGUACAUAUGGGGAGUCUUAAUUAGGGGAAUAGGGAUCUAGAAAGAAAAACAAUCAAUAAUUUCAUUACAUUCUUCACCUCUAAAACAAAUGUACAUCCUCGAAGGGGUCUAGAAUCAUACCUGGAGUGUUGAAUAAGUGUGGAUAUUUGCUUUGCAUGUCAUUAAAUUACGAAAAGCUCAAUUGAGGUAUGUAUGGCUAAACCUCUUUCUUAUUAUAAUUGAAAUCCCCGAAUAUCCGUGUAAUCGAUGUAAGUCUCCAAAUUGAGCAUAUUAGAGUUUACUAUCCCAAGUAUGUUGUGUGGUAUGAUAUGUAUUCAAUAUUUGUAUAAAAUGCUUAUCAUGUCAUAUAUUCUUUGUGAAUAUGUUUAACAAUGUGGCAUAUGAGUUUAGAAAGGUUAAGAAUUCAUAUCAAAGAAACUGAAUAAAGAUUGUUGUGCCAAUUUGUCUGAAAAGCCUCUGUGUGUUUAGGAUUUUCGAGUUUUUCCAUUCUGUGUGAACAUGACUUACAUGAUAGGCCUUAUUGUUGCUAUGAUAAUGUUAUUGAAUAUGUAAAAAGGAAAACUUGAAUUGUAAGAUACGUCUAAGUGCCAAGAAUGACUUAAUAAAUGAGGAUACUAGUGCCAUGAAAUGAAAGAUAGGAAAGAAAUGUGAAUUGAGAUAAACGAUUGAGAGGAUGAUAUCUCAAGGGAGAUGGCCUAGUCGAUCGGGUCGUGAUCAUACACCAUGCCACACACAUGGUGGUAACAGUGCUAGAUUGAUUAAUUGAAAUUAUGAAUAUGGUUUAUGUCUUAAAGGAGAUGACCUAGCCGAUCGAGUCGAGAACGGAUUUCGUGUAGGAACACGGUGGUAUUGUGGAACAUGGAACUAAGAUUGGCAACCUAAUAAGAUGGAAAUUUUAAUAGGAAACAAUGUGCUUCUUACUUGAUGAUUUUUUUAUAUUUUUUUAGGCUCUCGUUGUACACCAUGACUGUUUCCACUUGUCACACCUCCUUUUUUCUUCACCCAGUAACGGCAUAAUGGAGUUUUUCAAAUUUAAGUGACAAUCCAAAUGGAAUUUAUUGAUUUAACAAAAAAUUAGAGUUGCCACUUGGGAGAUUUAUGGUGUCCCAAGUCACCGGUUCCAAUCCCGAAUCAUGGAAAAUAUUGACUCUAUUUAGCAAUCCGCGAACCAGAAAUUUGGGUAAGGAAUUCUAUUAACUCGAGAGAAGCUGUUAGGCACUCCCGAGUUCUGUGGUUCUAGCACAGUCGCUCAACUAUUAUAUUUGGCUUAAUUAUCUUAUUUUAGAAACAUGUUUAACCUAUGAUGCCAUUUUAAGCUUUUAAACGCUUUUAAUUAAUUUUUAAAUAACAUUGAACGUCAUUUUAAAUGUUGCACCACAUGAAAUGCACCUGCAAUCCUAAAUACAUUUUAUUCAACAUUUUAUGAUUUUUAUUUGGGUCACAUAAAAUGCACACCCGAGUUUAGGAAGGUAAUAUUAUUAAAUUACGCACCUAAAGCAACUACGUGUUUUAACUUUGCUAGGGCCAUAGAAAUCUACUAAAUGGAACACCUCGAGUUCUAAGUAUUUUGGAAGAAACAAUUAAAUGACAGACACACAUUUAGGGUUUUAUUUGGCACGACGCACCUCAAUUUAUUUUAAAAGGAUAUGCAAACUAAGAUUCGAGGGGGGUCGUGACUAUCUUACAUUACCUAAUACGGCUCACCCCCUGUGGUUCUAGUACGGUCGCUUAACAGUUAUAUUCAGCUUAAUUAUCUGAUUUUAGAAACAUGUUUUAACCUAUGAUGCCAUUUUAAUCUUUUAAACGCUUUUAAUUAAUGUUUAAACAUGAUUAAAUAUUGUUUAAAACGUGUCUUUGGAUCGCGCCUCAUGAAAUGCACCCGCAAUCCUAAACACAUUUUAUUCAACGUAUUAAGAUUUUGAUUUGGGUCACAUGAAAUGCAGACCCGAGUUUAGGAAGCUAAUAUUAUUAAAAUACGCCCCUAUAGCAACUACACAUUUUAACUUUGCGAGGGCCAUAGAAAUUUGCUAAAUGGUACGGCUCUAGUUCUAAGUAUUUUGGAAGAAACAACUAAUUGAGGGCCACGCAUUUAGGGUUAUAUGUGGCGCGGAGCGCCUCAAUUUUCUUUCAAGAGGAUAUGCAAACUAAGAUUCGAGGGGGGUCGUGACUAUUUUACAUUACCUAAUACGGCUCACCCUCCAUCUAAUUAAUGGACUUAAUUAAUACUAAUUGUAUUUAAAGGCUCUAUUUAGACCUAACCCAAACAGAUUAUACGAAAAAGGCUAAUCUUAUUAUAUGAAACAAGCCUGAACUGAUAAAAGAGGACUGAAAGUCCAAUUAGAGAAGCGACCUAGAUUUUAUUUCAAUGAGCUGCAUAUUGGGCCUCAUAAUUGAGCCCAAAUUCAGGGCUCUCACGUUUGAGCGAAAAGAAUGCAGGAUCAAAUAACAGAGGUCCAAAAAGGUGCAGGUUCACUCAUGCCAUAUCCAGUCAUCAUUUCACGCCACUAAUUUUAAAACAUGAAAUAAGAUCCUGCCUUCACCGCUAAAUAAUAUGCAGCUUUAAAUUCUGGGCAACUGAAUAACAAUGCCACUUAAUCCUCAGAAACACAACGAAAGAAAAAUCAAGCACUUCUGAAAAUUAAUACCCUACGGCCAGAAAUUACAAUGCCUAUGGUUGAAUAUUGAACCAUUCAUUAAAUCUAGAGAUAAACCCCCAUUAAGCUUAAUUUAAUGGAUACUCUUAAACCAACAGAAGAUAAAUUCUCCAACAAAAAUGAGAAAAGCUAAACAUGAAUGAACUAUAUUAGACCUAAGCCCUGAACCAACAAUUCUGAAACAUGAUAAACUAAAUGACUUCAAACUAAAAUAAUCAAUACCCUUAUCACCGCAACAUAUUUAGAAUUUCAAACAGUCUCGAAAUCAUUUUACAUUCAAAUAAAUGCAAACUCCAAAUCUUAGAAGGAGAAAAACCAUUAACUAUACAACUAACUAAUCUAUGCAAAUUAACAAUAAACGAAAAAUCAUUCAAAACAUGUGGAAAUCAUGAAGAUGCACUGAAAGUCCAGCAUUUAUUAUCAUUUCUACCAAUAAUUACACACCAAUUAUGUAAAGCUAACUUAGACCAAAAAAAGUCACGAUAAACUAGAAAACAAAUGAGAAAAACAACAACGGAAGGCUUCUCAUGCUUCAAUUCUCCAAUUGAUUCAUUUCUCAAGUUUUCAACAUCACAAUCAACAGGACAGAAUGGCGUACCUGGGAAAGUAAAAAUGAAAGGAAAGAGGGGGGAUCAGCAGAUCAGAAUAGCAAUCAGCAUGUACAACAGUAGAGACCAGCAGAAUCAGCUUAACUAGAGGACUAUGGAUGCAGUAAAUACAUCCUUACUCGAGCGAAUACUAAAAUAAACUUCAAAACCCAAGCUUCAACCACCAAUUUCAAUCCAUUUAAGCUAUAUUCAUCGGAAAAUCUUUUUAGAAAUGAAAAGACCUAAGAAAUCACUAGAGUAUCUCAAUGAAACAGUACUUUUUGCUUAGUUUGCUAUUUUGUAUUUUCAGGGUUUCUUAGCUCUCCAAAAUCUGACUUGAGCUGCAAGUAGCAAUGCAUUUAUAGGCAAGAUACUAGGGCAGCCUUGCGAGUUUAGUUAUUUACAAUUAUACCUUUGUGAAUUUUUGUUUUCGCUAGUUAGCCUUUCAUUUACUAACUUGUUGAUCAAGUUAACCUACUACAAUUUUGAAAUUUAAUUAAAAAAAACCCCACUAGAAGCUUCUCAAUCUACUAUCCAAAGCUUUCCUAAUCCGAACUACCCAAAUUACCCCUUACUACCCCUAUUUUUACUACAGAAAACUAAAUGGGUCAUGGGUCAAAUGACUCAAUAGUUAAACUAGGCCUGGGCUCAAAAAUCGGUCCGAAUUUCUUUGGAUAGAAUUAUGAAACAAAUUCAUGGCCCAAAUAGCACACAAUUUCACCAAUCCUAAGCUACAUUAAAGGGAUAAACUUAAACUAAAUAGACAAACAAACAAAGAACACAGAAAUUAACUAAGCUGUUAAGAAAUGAAUUUAGACAAACCGGGCAAGAAGAAUAAUAAAAAAAAAUGGAAAAGAAAGGUUAAAAGAAACAAAAACGGACAAUAAUCAAUUUUAUCUAAAAACUUGUACAUAUUUUAAAUUGUGUAACUUGAAAGAAAGGGAAGUAGAGGAGAGGAACAGUAGUUGAGAAAACAGAAUAAUAAACGGAAAAAAAAAUAAAGGCACUCACUGAAUUAGGCUCGACCUCGACUGACCUUCCGAUUUAAACCGCCAAACAAUAUCAAUCAUAUGUUCUUUGUCAAGAAUAGGCAAACAACAUCGCUUUGUGAUAAAGCCGGCCUUGAACGUUCAUAGACACUGGAGAGGUACCAUUGCAUGAAUGUAUUUCAACUUUGGCUUUUAGGGUUGAACCCUAUAUCUAGGAUUCGAGAAGUUUCAGUUGAAUUUUAGGGAGGAUGGUUUGAGAUUUGGGGAGAUGGGGUCAAGAUGGGUCUUUGAUGUUAUUUUGGUUGAGGUUUGAUGAGGCGUCGUCGGGCUUGCGGUGGGGAAAUGGUGGCGGCUAUUAGGGUUCUUGAAGAGAGAUGAUAGAAGAAGAUGAUGAGGGAUAUAUUUAAACUAGGUUUGAUUUAAAUUGUUCGGACAUAUUAAUGGGGAGUGGCAUGGGCAG
rnacentral:lncRNA from 1 species